UACGUAGGGUGCGAGCGUUGUCCGGAAUUAUUGGGCGUAAAGAGCUCGUAGGCGGUCUGUCGCGUCUGCUGUGAAAUCCCGAGGCUCAACCUCGGGCUUGCAGUGGGUACGGGCAGACUAGAGUGCGGUAGGGGAGACUGGAAUUCCUGGUGUAGCGGUGAAAUGCGCAGAUAUCAGGAGGAACACCGGUGGCGAAGGCGGGUCUCUGGGCCGUAACUGACGCUGAGGAGCGAAAGCGUGGGGAGCGAACAGG
rnacentral:rRNA from 1 species